rnacentral:lncRNA from 1 species
UGUUUUUUGAUACUAUCUUUAACUGGAUUCCAGUUAACAAUAGCUUUACCCCUCUUCAACUUGCGAUAGUUAUGCACACAACUGAUAGAAAGAAAGAUACAACCAGAAGUACUAAUGUUACUGCUCAUAUAAUGUCAUCAGCAUUACAAAGAGCAUCAUAUAGCAUAACAACAAACCCAUACCAACUCACAGAAACAAAGAUACAUCCAGAAGUACUAAUGUGACUGCUCAUAUCAUUUCUUCAGCAUUAUGAAGAGCACCAGCAAGCAUAGCAGCAAACCGAGAGCAAGGCCUAACUUCAUGAGCAACAAGAUCUCUCUUGCUAUCAGUAUGAAAGCAUUCAUCAUCGUCAACAGUCUGCCAUCAUGAGCGUCGUUGCUGGCAAUACUGGAUGCAAAGUUUCGCCGCUUGCUCACGCUCAAGCUCUUCCCUUGUAGAUCUAGCGUACUGUAGUGCAACAGCAGCAUCUUCACCUACAAGGAAGCGUUGCUGAAUCAGAUACUCCACAUAUUGCAGCUCCUAAUGCCAGAAUUUAUGCGUACCCUGAAAUUUGGGAAACAGGAAACCAUACACUAAAUUAGUGAUGCCUCGAUAUGAUGGGUAACCAAAAGCUGAAUGUGUUGAAUGAGAAGAUCUUACUCCGUCUGAUUUGCACUUGUAGAACACCCAGCCUUCAUGAGGAUACUUCCUUCAGAAAAGAACACCAACCUGCUCAUGACA